rnacentral:rRNA from 1 species
AGAGUUUGAUCCUGGCUCAGGAUGAAUGCUAGCUACAGGCUUAACACAUGCAAGUCGAGGGGCAGCAUGAAAGUUUGCUUGCAAACUUUUGAUGGCGACCGGCGCACGGGUGAGUAACACGUAUCCAACCUGCCUCAUACUCGGGGAUAGCCUUUCGAAAGAAAGAUUAAUACCCGAUGUCAUAGUCCUACCGCAUGAUGGGAUUAUUAAAGAAUUUCGGUAUGGGAUGGGGAUGCGUUCCAUUAGUUAGUUGGCGGGGUAACGGCCCACCAAGACAACGAUGGAUAGGGGUUCUGAGAGGAAGGUCCCCCACAUUGGAACUGAGACACGGUCCAAACUCCUACGGGAGGCAGCAGUGAGGAAUAUUGGUCAAUGGACGAGAGUCUGAACCAGCCAAGUAGCGUGAAGGAUGACUGCCCUAUGGGUUGUAAACUUCUUUUAUAUGGGAAUAAAAUGUUCCACGUGUGGGAUUUUGUAUGUACCAUAUGAAUAAGGAUCGGCUAACUCCGUGCCAGCAGCCGCGGUAAUACGGAGGAUCCGAGCGUUAUCCGGAUUUAUUGGGUUUAAAGGGAGCGUAGGUGGAUUGUUAAGUCAAUUGUGAAAAUUUGCGGCUCAACCCGAAAAAUUUGCAGUUGAAACUGGCAGUCUUGAGUACAGUAGAGGUUGGGCGGAAUUCGUGGUGGAGCGGUGAAAAUGCUUAGAUAUCACGAAGAACUCCGAUUGCGAAGGCAGCUCACGGGACUGCAACUGACACUGAGGCUCGAAAGUGUGGGUAUCAAACAGGAUUAGAUACCCUGGUAGUCCACACAGUAAACGAUGAAUACUCGCUGUUUGCGAUAUACGGCAAGCGGCCAAGCGAAAGCAUUAAGUAUUCCACCUGGGGAGUACGCCGGCAACGGUGAAACUCAAAGGAAUUGACGGGGGCCCGCACAAGCGGAGGAACAUGUGGUUUAAUUCGAUGAUACGCGAGGAACCUUACCCGGGCUUAAAUUGCACCUGAAUAAUGUGGAAACAUGUUAGCCGUAAGGCAGGUGUGAAGGUGCUGCAUGGUUGUCGUCAGCUCGUGCCGUGAGGUGUCGGCUUAAGUGCCAUAACGAGCGCAACCCUUAUCUUCAGUUACUAGCAGGUCAUGCUGAGGACUCUGGAGAGACUGCCGUCGUAAGAUGUGAGGAAGGUGGGGAUGACGUCAAAUCAGCACGGCCCUUACGUCCGGGGCUACACACGUGUUACAAUGGGAGGUACAGAAGGCCGCUACCUGGCGACAGGAUGCCAAUCCCCAAAACCUCUCUCAGUUCGGAUCGAAGUCUGCAACCCGACUUCGUGAAGCUGGAUUCGCUAGUAAUCGCGCAUCAGCCAUGGCGCGGUGAAUACGUUCCCGGGCCUUGCACUCAACGCCCGUCA